UUUUUCGAAACUUUUAGAUAAAUUGUUGAAACAAAAUUGAGAUUUCCAUAGUCGGCAUUUCACACUUGAUUUGAAACUCAUGUUGCAAAUGGUGUCAAUUAGAAUGUUAUCAAACCUGAAAUUUUUGAAAGCUUUUUAACAAUUGGUUAAACUGUUAAUAGAGAUAUACGCGCGUUUGUAAUAUUCAAUUGUUAACUACCAUUGAUAAUAUGAACAAGUUUUGAAUACAUUUUUUUAUCAAAUUGUUUAUUCUAAAUAUCAGCGCGGAUAUGUUACCAUAAGAUCAUCACAAUCCUUUAUUUUGGAUCGAUGAUGUUGUCUUGCUUAUACAGUUAGACACUAAUUAUUAUUAUGAAAUUUUCAUUACCACCUUAAAGGUUCACAAAGUUCAAACAUUUACAGUAUUCCAAAAAUCAACAUUACAAUAAUUAUGAGGAGGUAAAUCACAAUCCCAAAUCAUUUUUACUUUAUACAGAAUUAACACAAAGGUUUUUUGUCACAACAUGAUUUAUUUUCAAAUUAGCAGAUUUUUCUUGCAUUGUUGUAUUAGCAACUGUUUUACACUUUACAUGUAUUAAACAAGCGAUGGUUUAUACAGUCAAGUAAUUUGAAACAUUUAAAAGUAAUUAUAUUCCUUCAUGACAAAAAUGUACUUUCUUGCAAAAAGAAGUAAUCUUAAAUGAUGUACACAGGAUCGAUUUUACUAAUUAAGUAAAUCUUAGGAUAUAAUUAAUAUUAAAUAUUGAUUUCGUAACCCAAUGAACAUUAUAAAGGAUAAAAAUAAAUUUGUAAUUUAUUUUAAGAAAAUCUAUGAUACUUUGUCGAAGAUAUAAUUUUAGACACUUUCUAACUGUAACCGAUGAUCAAAUACUUUCAUUGCAUACCAUUUAUACUCAGUAUUUCGACACAGGUAGGUUCAAUUUAUAACAUAGUUUCAUACAAUGACCAUUUUUUUGUAAUAAUUUGUUUUCUUCUCUAAAUUAAAAACAAUUGAGCAAAUUCGCAUGCAUGUUGUAUUUGUACUAGUAAAUGCUUAAUUACGUAAAAAGCUGACGUUUGAUGGAUUUUGACAAAUAUUUAUUAGUUUUAUUUUAAUUUAAAAUUUAAAAAGAGUAUAUAAUUACCUUUUCGGAAUUAUAUUGAAUGGAAAGCUGUGCAUUGGCAUUCAGACAAAAUUAAAGGUUUGUUUAAAGACGUGUUUCGAUUUAAAUUUUUACAAAUUAUUUACAUAACAAUACCUUUGUUAAGAUAUGCCUUUUAACAAUGAUGUGUCAAUGUGUUAUAAAUGUUACGUGAUUAUGCAAGGAGAGAUCUAGUAUUAACAAAGCAUGCUAUUGUAAUGUGAUAGAUACAUGUUCUGUCAUACUGUCAUAUUUCUUUUUUGACAAAAAAAAAAGAUAUUUUCAUUGUCAAUUCAGCUCCUUAUCCGUAUAAAUAUUGCAAACAAAAUUUAUUCAUGUAUAACGAUUUAAAAUUUAUUAUGUGUUUUUGCUUUCUCUAUUGAAAUAAUUUAUAAAUCGGUUGUUGUAGAUUGAAUAAGAACGAAAUACAGGCUCGUAUUGCUAAAUGUAAAUGUCGACGACUGAUAUCUAUUGUUUGUUAUAUCUUAAUCAAUAUCGACAGUCUUCCACAUGCAUUUUCAAUUUCCCUUGACGGGCGCAAUGGCUACUGAUAAGAUCUAGAUUUUGAUAGGUUACUUGAAUUUGGAUAUUUCCGAAAUAAUAUAAUAAACAGAAAGAGGAUCGAUAUAAUUUUUAAAUUCAGAUAGUUUGGCUUUUUACAAAUAUUAUUUAUAUUGAUAUUUAAACGUAUUCAACCAUUUCGCUUUAGAUAGUUUCCAGGUAGUUGUUGCAUGAUUAAAUGUGUUGUUCGUUUAGUUAAAUUAAUGAUCUGACUGUUGUACAAAAGUCACUCUGAAUUUGUUAUUCUAUAACAAUUAUCUUGCAUCUUUAACGAUAUCGUAUCAUAUCAAACUCUUAUUUAGCUUUAGUAGUACUUAUGCCGUUAUUGUUCUUACCAAUAACCUAAAUGUAUAUUAUGAAUGUUUAUAUACUCAUAUUGACCAUAUUUAAAAAUAAUUACAUAAGGAUAUUUGCCAAUGUUACGUAACUAUUAUGUACAUGACUUAUGUUUAUUAAGGAAUUUAAAAUCUAUGUUGUACAUAUUGAAAAGAUUGUUGUACUUCCUAAUUUGACAAUUUAACUUUAAUAAAGUAGAAAUUCAC
rnacentral:lncRNA from 1 species